rnacentral:rRNA from 1 species
GAUGAACGCUAGCGGCAGGCUUAAUACAUGCAAGUCGUGGGGCAGCAUGAAUGUAGCAAUACAUUUGAUGGCGACCGGCAAACGGGUGCGGAACACGUACACAACCUUCCUAUAAGUGGGGAAUAGCCCAGAGAAAUUUGGAUUAAUACCCCGUAACAUAAUGAUGUGGCAUCACAUUAUUAUUAUAGCUACGGCGCUUAUUGAUGGGUGUGCGGCUGAUUAGAUAGUUGGCGGGGUAACGGCCCACCAAGCCUACGAUCAGUAGCUGAUGUGAGAGCAUGAUCAGCCACACGGGCACUGAGACACGGGCCCGACUCCUACGGGAGGCAGCAGUAAGGAAUAUUGGUCAAUGGACGCAAGUCUGAACCAGCCAUGCCGCGUGAAGGAUUAAGGUCCUCUGGAUUGUAAACUUCUUUUAUCUGGGACGAAAAAAGGCGAUUCUUCGUCACUUGACGGUACCAGAUGAAUAAGCACCGGCUAACUCCGUGCCAGCAGCCGCGGUAAGAC